rfam:Enterocytozoon bieneusi H348 ctg01_2125, whole genome shotgun sequence.
GCCUCCUUAGCUCAGUCGGUAGAGCAUUGGACUUUUAAUCCAUUGGUCGUGGGUUCGAGUCCCAUAGGGGGUG